rnacentral:rRNA from 1 species
CGUGAAACCGCUGGGAUGGAAGCGAAUAGAGUUGACGAAACUUUAACCGUCAUUCAACCGAGCAACUCAGCGGCCAAUUUGCAAUUGUACUAUUGACGUAUGCUGCAGCCGUUUUUGCGGUAUGUAUGCGCGUCAGUAGACAAUAAUAGUUGAUACUGUUGAGUGUUUGUUGUGUGUGUUCGGUGCAUUUGACGGUGGUAUGCACUGAGAGCCGCGUCCGUGUAUGUCAAAAUUUGUGUAGAGGACUGUGCAUUUUUUGUGCAGAAACCUGCACCUUUUAAGGCACAUUAUCACACAUUGUGUGAUGCGGUUUUUGCAAUGUUCUCAAAUUGUAUGUGUGCAACUCGUUUGGUGCAGGGCAAUUCAAAGAGGAAGUGAAUAAAAAGAUCAUUGCUAUUUUUAGCAACUCUUUUUUCACUUUUGUUUAUUCUUAUUGCUUGUUUGGCACAGAGUUUGUAUCUCAGUGUGAGCGUUGAUCACCUAUUCGACCCGUCUUGAAACACGGACCAAGGAGUCUAGCAUAUGCGCAAGUUAUUUGGUGGUAAACCACAAAAACGCAAUGAAAGUGAACACACAAUAUGUGCAUGCACUCUAUGUGUGUGUGUGUGUUGUGCAGAAAUGUGAGCCACGCUGUGUUUUGUGUUUUAUGAGAGUGUGCUGGAUAUGUGGCGCUGUGCGUGUGCUCACUCAUUCAAUUUGUGUGUGUGUGUGCAUGUCGCGGUGUUUACGUGCCCAGGUAAAACGCACUUGAUUAUUUUGGUGGUGUGGUGCAACAUUGCCCCGUCUCAAUUGUUAAUAUGCAAUGGGGCGGAGGUAGAGCGCAUACGCUGGGACCCGAAAGAUGGUGAACUAUGCCCGAGCAGGAUGAAGCCAGAGGAAACUCUGGUGGAGGUCCGAAGCGAUUCUGACGUGCAAAUCGAUCGUC